AUAAUGUAUAUAAUAAUUGUGAAAUGUCAGUUUUGCAAAGUUCAUUGAACUCACUAAUUUAAUUUUUAAGAAUGGUUUCACCAUUUUUUCAUGUAACAUCAAGGGACGAUCAACCUAGUUUUUUUUCUUAUAAGAUUUUCUCCUUCAUAUGCAGGAUGAUAACCUCUUGUUUGAUAGGUCACCCUAUCCUUGCAGAUAUUUGUUGGUUAAGUUGUUUUUGGAAUUUCACCAUAUUCUGGGUACGGGUGAUAUUUGUGAUAUACACUAAUGGACAAAUGUAACACACCAUUCAAUUUAUGUAAUUUAACAUUAAAUCCAUUAUUAUUAGUUACAGGUAAUUAGGAGCUAUCGUAGUCAAAAUGAACAGUAAAUAAUUGUUGAUUUAUUUUUGUACUCAACAAUCCCAUUUGCUCAAAAAGUAGUAUUAUAUCAUUCCUUUCUGCUAUGCCUAAAGAUCGCUUUCAGUUAAUAUUUUUCCUUCAUUAAUUUCAUUUAAUAUUAUUCUUAUUCUUAAACCUUUAACAAUGAAUCCAGUCAGGCAGUUUCAAGAGUAGGACAGUGUCAUGGUCUUAGUAUUAUUAGAGGAAGGAUACAGACAGCACGAAGUAACCAGGAGACUGUGUGCAAAUCACCACAAUAGGAAGGGUUUUUGGUGCUUCAGAGAAAUAGGGCUUCCCUCUAGAAGGCCAAGACAGGGUAGACCUAGGUCUACAGGCCAGAAAAACGAUAGAUUCAUCUGUCACCAGACUCUACAAAACCGCAGCAUAAUGGGAAAUGAGGAAUACAAGUCUGAAAUGUUUCUAUUUCCUCCAGGACUGUACGAAGAAGGCUGAAUGAAAAUAACCUCAGGGCCCGGCACUUAGCUCAUGGACCUCUUCUUACCAUAGCUCUGAAAAUAGCCAGACUUCAAUUUGCACGGGAACAUGUGAAUUGGAUAUUGGAAGAUUGGGAAUGAGUUCUCUCUAUUGAUGAGAUUAGAGUUGGCCUCAAAUAAUUAAUUAAUUUCAUUUGGAGAUGAUCAGGAGAAGAUAUGCCCUAUGCUGCUCCUAACUGGUGGUACUUCUUUAGAGGAACAAAACAUAAUUGAAGAACAUGUACUGCCAUUUACCCCCCCCCCUACAUUUGUGAGAGUUCUUGCUAAUGCAGGAUAGUGCCAAGCCCCAUAGGGCACGUGUUGUGAAUGACUACCUGAAUGAGUUUAGAAUUGUGUGCUUGAUGUGACCAGUUCGAAGUCCAGAUUUGUUCCAAUCAAAUACAUUUGGGACCAAAAGUGACUAGUAUGACGGCAAAACAAGUCGUAACACCCCCCCUCUUAUAUGAAAGACUGUUCUUGAUGAAUGGGAAAGAAUUCAUCAGGAUUUUAUCACAAAUCUUUUCUAAGGAAUACUAAGGAACUAAUGGGAUUCGUGCCAGAAGUGGAAAUGCUCGGCAUUAAAGGGUGAAAACGUUUUACUUUUAAAUGUUUAUUUGUUUUUGUUUAUUUUUACUCAAUAAUUGUUUUUUAAGUUGAUGGAUAGGAAGUAAAUUAUCUUUUCCACAAUAGGCAUUUGUUGUGUCAGAUGAAUUUCAGCCUAAUAUAGGUCAUCUUCAGUGACUUUUUUAAAAUAAAGUAGUAUGAUGUUUUUUACAUAGUUUGGGCAUUCUUGACAGGCAACUCGCCACAUUCAUAGUCAUCCAGACACCAAAAUCAGGAUUGUCACUUCAAAAUAUUGUUUUUUAGAAAUAGGGUGUGGUGCGUUCAUUUUGUCCAUCAAUGUAUAUCACACAUACACUGAAGAUGGUGAAGUGCCGAAACACGUCUGAACCAACAAAAAUCAGUGAGGACAGGGAAACCAGAAUGAUAGGUAACUAUCAAACAAUAUAAUUUUUUCUUCUUCUUUUUCAUUUCUACUUAAAGACUAAGAGUAGUUCGUAGUAUUUUUGGAUCAUUUUGGUCUGUCAGACUUAUUUCAUUGUAUUCAUUGAUCGUUCUGGGUUUUAUUUGAUUUAUUGUGCCCUUUUAUUGGUUGGGUACAUACGUUUUUUUGCUUUUCAUAAAAAAAAGUAAAACUUUCAACAUUUAUUUUAGUUUUAGUACAAAACAUAAUUCCUAACUGCUAGCAUUCUAUAGCAUAAGUGUACUUCUGCCGUAAUAGUUCGAGAACGACAGUGAAAAUUCAUUCUUCUUUCAAAGGGUCCUUCAGCGUUUAACAUUUUUGUAAGGGAGCCACUUCUCAUCCCCAAGGAACAAAUAAGAAAUAAACCCUUCUGAUUAUUCCUCAUCAGGUGUGAAACACAAGCCAGGCAGUCUUCGUUUAUAGAAAUAAUAAAGGUGGAGUGAGUAUGUCAGUUCCUUUUUUGUAAUAAAAUCUGUGAGUAGAACUAUCAUCGACAAAAGUGCUUCCUUGUUCCUGAGAUAAUUCAUGGUGAAUCAAGUUUCACAACUCAGAUAUCGAAUUUUUCUUUUUAUUGCUGUGCAUUGUACCUGAAAUCUCUCUGAUAGUUCUGGUACAGUUAAUUUGCUCUCAGCUUCCAUUGUCAAUAAUAAAUCAUUGCUUUAUAGAUGUUCCACAUAAAGGUUGGUCUUUGAUUUGUCUCCACUACAAAAAUAUCAAAAUUACUGUUGUCUCACACAUCCAAUUACUAUUGUAUCACUAUACAUUGCACAUAAAUUUUGACAGGCAUGCCCAAGAUAGAACUCAUAUAGCAAGCAAUGCCUCAAAUGAAUGUUAUCUAUUUCCAUGUUGUACUUGUCGUAGUUUAUUCUAAACUGACUUUUAGGAUCAACUACCCUUUCUUAACAAUCUCUUUCAAUAAGACUUUUCCCACCAUAAAGCUUACAGGUCUGGCAGGAUAAUGAAUCACUUUUAUAAGGAUGAUAGUAAAAAAACUUACAUACACUCCCAAUAUAAGUUUGAUGAGAAUCUUGGCUUUGUUUUGUUGGUUUCUGUAUUAAUUUUUAGUGGCGGGUCAGAAAA